rnacentral:rRNA from 2 species
UCUGGUAGUUAUGGCGAGAAGGUCACACCCGUUCCCAUCCCGAACACGGUAGUUAAGCUUCUCUGCGCCAAUGGUAGUUGGGGGCUUC